rnacentral:misc_RNA from 1 species
UUUCCGUAGGUGAACCUGCGGAAGGAUCAUUCAUAAUAAGUGUUUUAUGGCACUUUUUUAAAUCCAUAUCCACCUCGUGUGCAAUGUCAGGGUUGAUUUUUCUCUCGAGAGGAUCAACCCCAAACAUCAACUAUAUCUCAACUCUUUGUCUGAAAAAUAUUAUGAAUAAAACAAUUCAAAAUACAACUUUCAACAACGGAUCUCUUGGCUCUC